AACAUUAAUUCGAAUCGAUGUCCUGCUUUAUUAGACAUGAUCUGUAUUAUUGGAAUCAUAUAAAACUAAAUUUUAUAAUUUUUCAAUAUCAUUUACCUAGCGAUCAAAAAGUGAUCAUGAUUUUUCUGAAAUUAAUUUUUAGAUUUUGAAGUUGGCUUUUGCUAUGUUAAGGGACCAUUUGGUUUGAUAUAAUUGUAAAUGAAUUAUAGUUGGAGAUGUAUAUAAUUAAAAGUACAAUAAUUAUUCUGUAUUUUUUUUGGUUGGGUGCAAUAGAAAAUGCUAGCUACAAAUGUAAAUAAUUUGUUUGGUUAAUUCUAUGCAAUUGAGAACUCAAUUUAUAGCUUUAUCACUUUAUAUAUAUAUAUAUAUAGAGAGAGAGAGAGAGAGAGAGAGAGAGAGAGAGAGAGAGAGAGAGAGUGAGUGAUAAGAUUAUUGGGAGUAGAAAUUAAACAAAAGGCA
rnacentral:lncRNA from 1 species